rnacentral:rRNA from 1 species
GAUGAACGCUGGCGGCGUGCCUAAUACAUGCAAGUCGAGCGAACAGAUAAGGAGCUUGCUCCUUUGACGUUAGCGGCGGACGGGUGAGUAACACGUGGGUAACCUACCUAUAAGACUGGAAUAACUCCGGGAAACCGGGGCUAAUGCCGGAUAACAUUUAGAACCGCAUGGUUCUAAAGUGAAAGAUGGUUUUGCUAUCACUUAUAGAGGGACCCGCGCCGUAUUGGCUGGUUGGUAAGGUAACGGGCUACCAAGGCAAGGAUACGUAGCCGACCUGAGAGGGUGGUAGGCCACACUGGAGCUGAGACGCGGUCCAUACUCCUACGGGAGGCACCAGAAGGGAAUGGGCCGCAGUGGUCGGAAACCUGACGGAGCAGCGCCGAGUGAGUGAUGAAGGUCUUCGGAUCGUAAAACUCGGUUAUGAGGGAAAAACAGAUUUGUACGUUACCGUGCACUGCUUGACGGUACUUGAUCAGGAAGCCCCGGCUAACUACGUG